rnacentral:rRNA from 1 species
ACAUUAGAUACCCGCGUAGUCCCAGCUGUAAACGAUGCAGACUAGGUGUUUGGACGGCCACGUGCCGUUCUAGUGCCGCAGGGAAGCUGUUAAGUCUGCCGCCUGGGGAGUACGAUCGCAAGAUUGAAACUUAAAGGAAUUGGCGGGGGAGCACCACAAGGGGUGAAGCUUGCGGUUUAAUUGGAGUCAACGCCGGAAAUCUCACCGGGAGCGACAGCAGUGUGAUAGCCAGAUUAAAGGUCUUGCUAGACGAGCUG